GUGCUGUGUUAGUAUUUUAUUAAAAUAAUCAUAAUAAUAAAUUCACUACAUCACUGAUUGUUUUGUUCUUGUUUUUGUUAUUUGAGUCUUUCUAUCUACUUGACAUGGGCCAAUGAUCCAAUAAGAUGGCAAACAUGGUAAGAUCUUAAUAACAACAUCAGACACUUAUAUAAACGUGUGGUAAAGUUCAGCAAAUGUUUGUGUUAUUUAGAAAUUCACUUAAUCUCUUAGUUUCUUUUAGUUUGAUUUUGUAAUGUGACAAUCUCUGAAAUAAUAACUCAUAAACGUAAAACACAUUUUAUUCUACACAUCUAUAUUUCUGAAUAUUUUCUUUGUUUCUGUCUUUGUGUGAGUCUUUCCAACUACAGUACAUGACAUGCUGAGCUGCCACAAUGGCAAACAUGGUAAGACUUAUUAUGUACUUAUCUUAGAUCAGAAAUUUAUUUCAACUUCUGUCAAAUUUCUGAACAUCUUCUAUUUCUUUUUUUGCAUGAGUCUUUCCUUCUACAUGAUGUGGUUUGAGCUGACACAAUGGCAAACAUAGUAAGAUCUUAGCAAUAUCUAAACCCUACGUAAAUUAACUCGUAGAUAAUUUAUGCAUGAAUGUUUUAAUCUAUAAAAAGCUGAAAUAUUUCUGUGUUUCUCCCUUUGCAUGAGUCUUUUCAACUACAGCUCUUGACAUGGUGUACAAAUACAAUAGUAAACACGGUAAGAUCACAUCAACAUCAGAAACCUAUAUAAAAUUGUGGUGAAAUGCUGCAUGAAUACUUUAUUUAUACCAAUCACUAUAUUUCUGAACAUUUUCUUCUUUGUUUAUUUCUCUGCACGAGUCUUUCCAACUACAAGACAAGGCGGCACAAAGGAAACAUGAUUUUCAACUCACAGUACACUACAUGGCAUGGUUUGAGCCACUACAAUGAAACAGGGUAAACAUGGUAAGAUAUUAAAUGACAACAUCAGUAACCUAUAUAAACAUGUGGUAAAUCUAUGAAUGGAAAGCACUAACUUCCGGAAUAAUUUCUUUGUUUUUAUCUUUGUCUGAGUCUUUUCUAUCUAAAUGACAUGCUUUGAGCCACCAGUUUCAAACAUGGUAAGAACGAUUAUGUAACAACAUUAGAAACAUACAUAGUCUUGUUGUAAAAUGCUGCAUGUAUAUUGUCAUCUAAAACUUAUUUAUCUGAAUGGUUUCUUUGUUUCUGUCUUUGCAUGAGUCUUUCCAACUACAUGACGUGGAGCCACAAUGGAAAAUGUGGUUAGAAAGAUCACAUCAACAUCAGCAAGCAAUGGGAACCUUAAGCUCUGUGUCAAUAUUUUAUUCUGAAUAAAGCAUUAUAUUUCUGUA